rnacentral:rRNA from 1 species
GGGGGGGGGGGGGGGGGGGGGGGGGGGGGGCGGGGCGAGGGGGAGGGCGGGGAGAGCGGGGGCGGACGGGGGGCGGGUGGCGGGCGGGUGAGGAAGACAUCGGAAUCUACUUGUUCGUGGGGGAUAACGGAGGGGGACUUACGCUAAUACCGCAUACGACCUACGGGUGAAAGCAGGGGAUCUUCGGACCUUGGGCGAGUGAAGGAGCCGAUGUCGGAUGAGCUAGUUGGCGGGGUAAAGUCCCACCAAGGCGAAGAUCCGUAGCUGGUCUGAGAGGAUGAUCAGCCACACUGGAACUGAGACACGGCCCAGACUCCUACGGGAGGCAGCAGUGGGGAAUAUUGGACAAUGGGCGCAAGCCUGAUCCAGCCAUACCGCGUGGGUGAAGAAGGCCUUCGGGUUGUAAAGCCCUUUUGUUGGGAAAGAAAAGCAGCAGGUUAAUACCCCGCUGUUCUGACGGUACCCAAAGAAUAAGCACCGGCUAACUUCGUG